CGAACCCACGCACGUUGAAAAGUGCGGGGAUGAGGUGUGGGUAGCGGAGAAAUUCCAAUCGAACUUGGAGAUAGCUGGUUCUCUCCGAAAUAGCUUUAGGGCUAGCCUCGAGGUAAAGAGUCAUGGAGGUAGAGCACUGUUUGGACUAGGGGCCCUUCUCGGGUUACCGAAUUCAGAUAAACUCCGAAUGCCAUGUACUUAUACUCGGGAGUCAGACUGCGAGUGAUAAGAUCCGUAGUCGAAAGGGAAACAGCCCAGACCACCAGUUAAGGUCCCCAAAUAUAUGUUAAGUGGAAAAGGAUGUGGGGUUGCUUAGACAACCAGGAUGUUGGCUUAGAAGCAGCCACCAUUGAAAGAGUGCGUAAUAGCUCACUGGUCGAGUGACCCCGCGCCGAAAAUGUACCGGGGCUAAACAUAUUACCGAAACUGUGGAUGAACCUCUUUAGAGGUUCGUGGUAGGAGAGCGUUCUAAGGGCGGUGAAGUCAGACCGGAAGGACUGGUGGAGCGCUUAGAAGUGAGAAUGCCGGUAUGAGUAGCGAAAGAAGGGUGAGAAUCCCUUCCACCGAAUAUCUAAGGUUUCCUGAGGAAGGCUCGUCCGCUCAGGGUUAGUCGGGACCUAAGCCGAGGCCGAUAGGCGUAGGCGAUGGACAACAGGUAGAGAUUCCUGUACCAGUGCUAAUUGUUUAACCGAUGGGGUGACACAGAAGGAUAGGGAAUCGCACGAAUGGAAAUGUGCGUCCAAGCAGUGAGUGUGA
rnacentral:rRNA from 1 species